rnacentral:rRNA from 1 species
GAUGAACGCUGGCGGCGUGCCUAAUACAUGCAAGUCGAGCGAACAGACGAGGAGCUUUCUCCUCUGACGUUAGCGGCGGACGGGUGAGUAACACGUGGAUAACCUACCUAUAAGACUGGGAUUACUUCGGGAAACCGGAGCUAAUACCGGAUAAUAUAUUGAACCGCAUGGUUUAAUAGUGAAAGACGGUUUUGCUGUCACUUAUAGAUGGAUCCGCGCGGGAUUAGCUAGUGGGUGAGGUAACGGCUUACCAAGGCGACGAUGCCUAGCCGACCUGAGAGGAUGACCAGCCACACUGGAACUGAGACACGGUCCAGACUCCUACGGGAGGCAGCAGUGGGGAAUAUUGCACGAUGGGCGCAAGCCUGAUGGAGCCAUGCCGCGUGUAUGAAGAAGGCCUUCGGGUUGUAAAGUACUGUCAGCGGGGAGGAAGGGAGUAAAGUUAAUAUCUGCACUCAUUGACGUUACCCGAAGAAGAAGCACCGGCUAACUACGUG